rnacentral:lncRNA from 1 species
GUAGACAACAGUAGUAUAGGCCAACUAUCAAAUUAAUAAUUUGUUUGAUUGAUUUUGUCAAAAUACUCUCCUUAUCUCUUGUAACAAACUAGCGAAAUGAUUGAAUCUGAGGAUCAUAGUCAAGUUUAUCGAUAGGCUAUUUGAACUUACUUGAAAGUCUUUUCAAAGCUCAUAAACCAACCUUGAAGUCAGCCACAUCGUAGCUGUUCGUACUAUUUGUGUGUUUUGCUCAAAACAAUCACCAGCGCGCCACCAUAAACGAAGUCUGACGACCUUGCAUCACGGCAAUCAGCGUUCCGUUUCGACCCAACGUAAUGGUCCCUGGAUAAUCUAUCAUUCCCGUUCAUGUCAUUGAGCCAUCUUCGUUUGCUUGUUCUAAGCGGCAGCGGACCUCGGACAUAUUGUUAGAAGAUCUUUGUUGAAUCUCCAUUAUUUUGGUCAACUACCCUUCUCUAAGGCCGUUGCUUUAACCCGGUUCGAUAGCUCUAGUCGGUUGUCUUUAAUAAACUCCCAACAGCUUCUAAGUCACGUAUGUCUUGUGUUAAAGAGCUUAAAAUGCGGGUUUUACGGAGCUUGGAUGGAUGCUAGAAGUUGGCGGUGUUAGGAUUGAAGAAAUGGUGAAUUAAAUGAAGGAAACAAGGAAAAACUAACACUCAACGCCGUAACCUACGGCACUUGGCCGUAGGUUACGGCCCCAACCUUUGCAAAAAGCCUUCGCCGUAACACAGAAGCCACCCGCCGUAAGGGAAAGCUGCCCGCCGUAACCUACGGCCCUCUGCCGUAGGUUACGCCACCGACUGAUCCAAUUUUGUAACUUAUGCAUUAAGUUGUCAUUUCAUGGGUUUUUAUGGUGGCUCAUCAUAUGUUUUCGGUUACCACUUGUCUUGGGAACGAUUUUGGGAGCAAUUUUUGGAGACUUGGGCUUGAAGAACACUUGUUUAAUCAUUAGUUUUUGUGCUUUGAUCUUUAUGAACAAUAGAACUUUUGUUAUGAUGUUGCUUCAAGCCAUGGGUGGCUAAACACUUGAUGAUUGUCCUGGAUUGAAGGUUUGGUUGAGACAUUUCAUGUUUGUUUUUUCUAAUUUCUAGAAUAACAAUCUUUAUCUUUA